rnacentral:rRNA from 1 species
UACGAAGGGGGCGAGCGUUGUUCGGAUUUACUGGGCGUAAAGGGCGCGUAGGCGGCCCGCUAAGUCGAACGUGAAAUCCCUGGGCUCAACCCAGGAACUGCGUCCGAUACUGGCAGGCUUGAAUCCGGGAGAGGGAUGUGGAAUUCCAGGUGUAGCGGUGAAAUGCGUAGAUAUCUGGAGGAACACCGGUGGCGAAGGCGGCAUCCUGGACCGGUAUUGACGCUGAUGCGCGAAAGCCAGGGGAGCAAACGGG